rnacentral:piRNA from 1 species
UAAAGUUGAAAUAUCGACAUGUGCUGGA